rnacentral:rRNA from 1 species
GCAAGUCGAACGAGAAAGGGAUUGCUUGCAAUCCUGAGUAGAGAGGCGCACGGGUGAGUAACACGUAGAUAAUCUGCCUUCAAGCCUGGGAUAACUAUUCGAAAGGGUAGCUAAUACCGGAUAAAGUCGAUUCACAUAAGUAAAUUGAUGAAAGAUUGCCUCUUCUUGAAAGCAAUUGUUUGGGGAUGAGUUUGCGUACCAUUAGCUUGUUGGUGGGGUAAAGGCCUACCAAGGCAACGAUGGUUAGCUGGUCUGAGAGGAUGAUCAGCCACACUGGAACUGGAACACGGUCCAGACUCCUACGGGAGGCAGCAGUGAGGAAUUUUGCGCAAUGGGGGCAACCCUGACGCAGCAACGCCGCGUGAGUGAAGAAGGCCUUUGGGUCGUAAAGCUCUGUCAACAAGGAAGAAAUUACAAUUAUUUAAUAGAUAAUUGUAUUGACGGUACUUGUGGAGGAAGCGCCGGCUAACUCCGUGCCAGCAGCCGCGGUAACACGGGGGGCGCAAGCGUUAUUCGGAAUUAUUGGGCGUAAAGGGCGCGCAGGCGGUCUUGUCCGUCAGGUGUGAAAGCUCGGGGCUCAACCCCGGAAGCGCACUUGAAACAGCAAGACUUGAAUACGGGAGAGGAGAGAGGAAUUCCUGGUGUAGAGGUGAAAUUCGUAGAUAUCAGGAGGAACACCGAUGGCGAAGGCAUCUCUCUGGACCGAUAUUGACGCUGANGCGCGAAGGCGUGGGUACCGAACGGGAUUAAAUACCCCGGUAGUCCACGCANUAAACGUUGU